ACCAGUAACUGAUUCUUCAUAUUCAGCAACAGUACCUUCAGAACAAGCCCAAGCUGGAAAAGAUGGCCAAAGAAGUUCAUCAAAGCGCAAGAAGAAAAAGAGGCAUAGCAAGGGCCAUUCAAGUGGUGCAGCAAGACAGAAAAACUAAAAAGCGUGCUAUUCAGUGGCCUCAGCUAUUGAAAGAAGCCAUAGUAAUAGGGUGCAGUUAAUUUUUGUCUGGAGUUACUUGAUAGGGAGUAAUUAAUAUUAAAUUUUACGAUAUAUCCAGACUUGGAAGCACCCUCAGCCUGUGCCUUAUACAAAAUUCUUAUCCCAAAAUAAUUUUCUGCUACUUUGGAGCCAUAGAAUCAACACCUAAUGGACAAAAUUGUUCAGCAUAAGGUGAAGAAGGAGAUAUGAUCUAAAACACAGAGCUGGAACAAGUUGAAGCUAACACAGUCAUCUUUUGAAUUUAACACAGAAAAUGUUAAAAGUUUUAUGGCACCAAUCUCAUGUUUAGAUAAUGUGUCAGUAUAGGAAAUACAAUCCAACAAGGCCUGAUUUUGCAAAGAUCUGUGUUUGAGUUAACAACAUCCUUCAAUUUGAUUGUGCUAUAUGUUACAUCAGGUUGAAGCAAACAAUUUUUGUGAUACUAUCAGGUACAUAUCACAUUCCUGUUUUUACACAAGACUUGUUACUCUAAGGAUUAGACAAAAGAGAUUUGUCUUAAAGAAAAUUAGUAAUAAUCCUAAUACCACCCAGGUAGUUGACUGCCACCUAGUGGCAAAGGUAUGCAGUUACUCUCUAUAUGAACACAUGAAUUAGUCUACAUGUUUACCCCAUCCUUUUUCUCACUACAUGCACUGCGACACUUCUUUUCAAGAAAACUUCCUCCCAAAGUAAUGUUAUUAUUAAUGCAAUCAAUUAACCCUUUUUUGUGGUUGUGGUAGUAAAUGUGUUUGGGGCUAGGGAUAUCUUUUUCUUGUUGCCUAUGUAUAACAUUAAUGAAAAUAUUUUAGCGUUAAUAUUGGGAAUGUGAUUCCCUUUUAUCAUAAAAACUGAAGUAAUUUUUCGUAGUUUAUAAAUACUAUUGAGAGAAUUGCGGAUUUGUAAAUAGCUGUUCCCUUUUGUAUAUUCACUUACAUGAGACUGAAGGUGAAGAAAUUAUUUUAUAAGCUGAAUUUAGCAAUUAUAAUUUGGAAAGAAGAUAUUGACUGAGAGAUAUCCUGCUGAAAUAAACUAAUGCUGUGUUAUAGUGGGCUUUGCAAAGCUAACUUUGAUUUCCUCUCCAGAUCUGUUGGGACUGUCUUCCCAAAUACCCAGGAAGCAUCUGCCUUUUCAAGGUCUCCACAUGAAAGCUUUUGCCUAUGCAAGCUAGAAUAAUUGGGAAUUAUGAACUCCAGAAGUCCAGAAAAUGCCAGUUUUUUUAAAAAAAAGCAAGCAUGGGUAUUUGAAACAAGAACUUAACUUUGCCCAUGUUUUAGUUUAUCACAGAAUUUGAACAGAACUCAAGAAUGUAACCGAGCCAGGUGCUUUCACAGCAGUUUCUUCCAGCCUUGGCAUCUUUAAGCUAUGUUGCUGGGAAUUCUGAGGGUUCAUCCACACUUUUUAAAAUUACUAAGAUGGGGAAAAAGUGCUCCAGACCUAUUGCACUACAGCACCUUUAAUAAUAGGAAGCAUGAUGACCCAGUGGCUUAAUGACACUGGAGAUUGUCUCAGCUCUGGGAGUUUGAGCCCAAGCACUAUACAGCAGGGUGAGCUCCUGUCACUCACCUCAGCUUUUGUGCACCUAAGAGUUCGAAAGCAUAUUCUAUACAAGUAGAUAGUUAGGUACCACUUCAGUAGGAAGACAGGCUUGUGCUCUGUGCAGGAGUCAGAUUCCUGAUGGUUCUGAACCUUCCCGCUUGUGGCACCCAUUUGCAAGGCAGCAAUGGGAAGAGAGAGGGGCCUUGGGUGAUGCUGCAGGAAGAGCCCCUCAUCUUUCUCUCUGGUAUGAAGCCAGCUUGCCCUCUUGUGGCGCAUCUUGGGAAGCACAAGCAUGUUCUAUAAUAGGGCUGGUACCUUGGCAAGCAAAACUACUACUCUGCAAUAGCAUUGUGGUUUCCUGGCUACUGUAACAAUGCUAUACGCUGAUAAUAAUAAACUCUAAUAGUAUAACACAGUGGUUCUCAACCUCUAGUCCACGGACCUCUGCAGGGCUGCGAUGUCAUCACAGGGGUUCCACAAAGGAUUGAAGAAAUGUUAUGAUUUAAAUCUUGAGUUAACUCUUGGUAAUCCGUGGCCAUGGUCUGUGGCCAUAAAAGGUAUUUAAAGGGGUCCAUGGUGAAGAAAAAGUUGAGAACCAAUGGCAUAGUACAUCUAGAGGAUAUCAGAAUGAAAGAGGCUGUUGCAAUUUUUGGAGAUGAGAGCAAUUUCUGAACACUGGAUAUUACCUUCCUCCAAUCAUAUUAAAUUAUAUAAUAGAGCAUGUCCUAUUUUCAUUGUACAUAAAAGCAGUGGGUUCCAAGGUGUCACAAAGUGAUAAAUUAAGGAGAGUGGGCUCCUAUAGUUGAGUCUUUUUACUUCUGCAUGCUAUUGUAGUUAUCAAAUUUUCCAUUUUUUAAUAGAAUUGUUUUCCCUGCCAACCCAAGUCAACAAUAGUAAGUAUUUGUCAUCAUUUUGUUACGAUGAAAUCUACAGUAAGAGUAUGAAUGAGCCUUCUGAUGGUUCUAUAGCAUAACAUCUCCACGUUUGUGUUUAUAUUUAUGUGUGUAUUUGCUUAGGUCACAUACAUCUGGCACAAUAAACUUGCUUUCAUUUAA